rnacentral:lncRNA from 1 species
AUGUGGGGCUGCAUCAGUGCUAACGCUCUCCCUGUGUGCCAAGGAGAACCCACUCGUGUCCUUGGGACACCAAGGCUGCUCCCAGGUGGUGACAGCUUCCCUCCUCAGCCACAGGGCAGAAAUUCCUCUGUUUCAUCCAGUUCUGACAGGCCUUUGUUUUUCAGUAAGCAGGCCGUGCCUCACCGCUGCUUUAGGCCUCUGGGCAGGAGGAGGAUUACAUUAGCAAUCUUCUUUCCUGUUUGGAAAGCGAAACCUUAUAUUUUACUGUUGUUAUUAUUUUUAAUUUCUUUCACAGAUCUGCAAAGAGUUUUUAAACAGGAGCGUGUUCUGCACGAGGGAGUCCAACCCUCACUGCGGCACGGAUGGCGUGACGUACGGCAACAAGUGCGCCUUCUGCAAGGCCGUGCUGAGGAGUGGAGGGAAGAUACGGUUGAAGCACAUGGGGAAGUGCUGAGCCUGAGCACCAAGCACUGAUCCUCGUCGGUCACAGGCACAGGAGCCUGGGCACGGCAGCAGCUGUCCUUGUCUCUGCCAUCUCUGCUCAAUAAAAUAGAACUCAGCACAACUCUUUGGCUGGAU